AAAAAGGGCUUCUUUUGUGAGUGGCACACGUAGGGCAACUCACUUGCUCUGCGUGUGGAAUGGACAUUAAGAGAUUUUGGAAGCUUAGUUUUUUGGUAUCUGGGUAGCUGGUGAUCGUUGGUCCUGGAGCCCCU
ensembl:snRNA